GACGAACGCUGGCGGCGUGCCUAAUACAUGCAAGCCGAACGCUUCUUUCCUCCCGAGUGCUUGCACUCAAUUGGAAAGAGGAGUGGCGGACGGGUGAGCAACACGUGGGUAACCUACCCAUCAGAGGGGGAUAACACUUGGAAACAGGUGCUAAUACCGCAUAACAGUUUAUGCCGCAUGGCAUAAGAGUGAAAGGCGCUUUCGGGUGUCGCUGAUGGAUGGACCCGCGGUGCAUUAGCUAGUUGGUGAGGUAACGGCUCACCAAGGCCACGAUGCAUAGCCGACCUGAGAGGGUGAUCGGCCACACUGGGACUGAGACACGGCCCAGACUCCUACGGGAGGCAGCAGUAGGGAAUCUUCGGCAAUGGACGAAAGUCUGACCGAGCAACGCCGCGUGAGUGAAGAAGGUUUUCGGAUCGUAAAACUCUGUUGUUAGAGAAGAACAAGGACGUUAGUAACUGAACGUCCCCUGACGGUAUCUAACCAGAAAGCCACGGCUAACUACGUG
rnacentral:rRNA from 1 species